GGUUGGGUAGAUAAUAGCACGCUGUCUCGAGCACAUCCAGUUAGGCGGAUUCCAGUCAUAGAAGCAUUCCUCCCUAAGACCGACGUAUACCACAAUACAAGAUGAAUACAUCACUGGCUGUCGCAAUACUUGUCCUACUCGUUGUAUUCCAACAGACGUCUGCCACAACGCCAGCCGCAGGUACAGAUGCCCCGCAGACGACUGGCGCGGCGAUGCCAACAACAGCCGGAGACAGCCCAACGGGUACACCAGGAGGUGCCACCACCGCCGCAUCGGGCACUGCUUCUUUCACGGCGUCUCUUCUUUUGACUGCCUUGAUGGCGUGGUUCGCAGCAUAGAAACAUUCAUAUUUUAGUUAAGGGCUUGAUCACCAAACUGUCAAGUUUAUCCUUGUUUCCGAUGCCAUACAUGACGUUAUAUUACCGAGAGAAGUAUUCUAAACGGGCACCGGAAACUCAAUAAGCAUGACGUAUGACUGUGACGUCAGUAGCACCGCUCAGUUGUGCCUCGUUCACAUUAUGGAGGUUUUGGUACUCAUGAUGAUGUCUUUGACGAACGGUGAAAGCGAUGCCAGCAAUGCAUGGAGUUCCGAGACAUCAAAUAUAGUAUUCAUGAGUUGCGAGUUGCUAUAACAACCAGAUAAUUCCUGAUUGCAGAUUUGUACAACUUAAUGUUUUGUAUUCAAUUUGCUGGUGAAUGAGAUUAAAAAUACAAAUGAAAAUUCUAAAUA